GAUGAACGCUGGCGGCGUGCCUAAUACAUGCAAGUCGAGCGAACAGACGAGGAGCUUGCUCCUCUGACGUUAGCGGCGGACGGGUGAGUAACACGUGGAUAACCUACCUAUAAGACUGGGAUAACUUCGGGAAACCGGAGCUAAUACCGGAUAAUAUAUUGAGCCGCAUGGUUCAAUAGUGAAAGACGGUUUUGCUGUCACUUAUAGAUGGAUCCGCGCCGCAUUAGCUAGUUGGUAAGGUAACGGCUUACCAAGGCAACGAUGCGUGGCCGACCUGAGAGGGUGAUCGGCCACACUGGAACUGAGACACGGUCCAGACUCCUACGGGAGGCAGCAGUAGGGAAUCUUCCGCAAUGGGCGAAAGCCUGACGGAGCAACGCCGCGUGAGUGAUGAAGGUCUUCGGAUCGUAAAACUCUGUUAUUAGGGAAGAACAAAUGUGUAAGUAACUAUGCACGUCUUGACGGUACCUAAUCAGAAAGCCACGGCUAACUACGUG
rnacentral:rRNA from 1 species